rnacentral:rRNA from 1 species
UACGUAGGGUGCAAGCGUUGUCCGGAAUUAUUGGGCGUAAAGAGCUCGUAGGCGGUCUGUCGCGUCUGCUGUGAAAACUCAGGGCUUAACCCUGAGCUUGCAGUGGGUACGGGCAGACUAGAGUGCGGUAGGGGAGACUGGAAUUCCUGGUGUAGCGGUGAAAUGCGCAGAGUAUCAGGAGGAACACCGGUGGCGAAGGCGGGUCUCUGGGCCGUAAGCUGACGC